rnacentral:misc_RNA from 1 species
GUCCAAGACCAUCAUUACAGAAACAAAAACCUAGCCCCAGCUCAAACGAAGCCAAAACCCCUCAAUUGAAGCUGGUAUGUUUUGGGGCAGGCAGUACUUUUCAAGAACAAACCCAAAUGAAGAAACUUGCUCUUUGACAUCCCAAAAGGACCUCAAGAAGGAAACGCAAUUGCAAGCUGCAAAUUGCAAAUGAAGCAACAAAAAGAAGUAAAUUUAAUGGAGCAC